AUACGAAGGGUGCAAGCGUUAAUCGGAAUUACUGGGCGUAAAGCGCGCGUAGGUGGUUUUGUAAGUUGGAGGUGAAAGCCCCGGGCUCAACCUGGGAAUUGCCUCCAAAACUGCAUGACUAGAGUACGGUAGAGGGUAGUGGAAUUUCCUGUGUAGCGGUGAAAUGCGUAGAUAUAGGAAGGAACACCAGUGGCGAAGGCGACUACCUGGACUGAUACUGACACUGAGGUGCGAAAGCGGGGGGAGCAAACAGGAUUAGAUACCCUGUUAGUCCACGCCGUAAACGAUGUCAACUAGCCGUUGGGAUCCUUGUGAUCUUAGUGGCGCAGCUAACGCAUUAAGUUGACCGCCUGGGGAGUACGGCCGCAAGGUUAAAACUCAAAUGAAUUGACGGGG
rnacentral:rRNA from 1 species